AAAAAGGCAAACCCUGGGUUUUCGUGUCCAACUUUAACGGUCCGUCUUAUAUGAAAUUUUUUUAUAAUUCAUAUUUUCAUUAUUGUUAGAUGAUAAAACAUGAUUAAUAUUUUAUGCGUGACUUGUCUUUUUUAUUUUUUUCAUAAUUUUUUCAAAUAAGAUGGACGGUCAAACGUUGGACACGGAAACCAGGGUU
rfam:Oryza sativa Japonica Group DNA, chromosome 6, cultivar: Nipponbare, complete sequence.